UUUCAGGCUGCCGUCACCUCCCAUGAUGCACCGGGGUACGGCAAGCUGGUGGGAGCUUUCCACAGCGAGUUCGGCCUGUUAAACAGAGUUCAUGCCCUCUGGUGGUUUGAGAGUGCUGAUCAGAGAGCUGAAGUUCGACACAAAGCUCAUCAUGACGCCAGAGUGGUCGCUGCAGUGAGAAACAGCGUGAUGCAUCUGGAGUCUCAGGAGAAUAAACUCAUGUUUCCGUGUGCUUUCUCUCCGCUGAAGUAACUUCCUGUUGUCACACCUGGGUCUCCACGGCAA